rnacentral:rRNA from 1 species
GACGAACGCUGGCGGCGUGCUUAACACAUGCAAGUCGAACGGAAAGGCCCUGCUUGCUGGGUACUCUAGUGGCGAACGGGUGAGUAACACGUGGGAGGUCUGCACUGCACUUCGGGCUAAGCCUGGGCAACUGGGUCGAGUACCGGAUAGGAGACAUUCUGAGUGUGAUGGAUGGAGAGUUUUUUCGGUGUAGGAUGAGCUCGCGGCCUAUCAGCUCGUUGGUGGGGUAAUGGCCUACCAAGGCGGCGACGGGUGGCCGGCCUGCGAGGGUGGACGGCCACAGUGGGGCCUCGAAACGGCCCAGGCUGCUACGGGUGGCAGCCGAUGGGAAUAUUGCACAAGGGGCGCCAGCCCGAGGCAGCGACGCCGCGUGGGGGAGUGCGGCCCUCGGGUUGGAAACGCCUUUCGCUAGGGUCUGAGCGUUUUGUGACGGUACCUAGAGAAGAAGCACCGGCUAACUACGUG